rnacentral:lncRNA from 1 species
UUCAAUGGCAUGUUUAAAUCUCGAUAUGCCCCUCUUGUUUGUGACUGGGAUGCCGAGGAUCACAAAGCGGGUGUGAAUUACCAUGCAAAUUCACAUGGUGCCUUCAUUGUAACGAUCACCUAUUCGAUGUGCCGGUAAACCACACACGCUCCAUCGAACUAUGAUAAACAAUGAAUCACCCUUUGCCACCUUCGCUUAGAACCAAUUAGUGUGCCGGUAAACCACACACGCUCCACUAACAUCUUAGCAAGGUGCAAAGUGUAAUUUCAUGGGAUUGCAUCAAUUCACUUUUCCUAAAGUAACUAGGAUUGGGAAAUUUUAAAAUAUGUGUAGUUACUUUGUAUUUCUUAUUAUACUUUUAAUGAGAGGAUGAGGUUGCCCUAUCCUACCCGUUCGGCUAACGACCCUCCACCAAUCAAGCAAGCGGUGGGUGUGAGUGUACACCCAUUAAGCGCCAUUUUAUAGGCCGCAACCUUAUACCCACCUUAUAGAUCGGCUUCGUGAAUGAGGCCUACUAACGGUAAGACUAGCAUUUAGUUAUACAUAUAUAUAUUAUUCUAGUAAUAUCAUAUUAGUAUAGGGUUGUAUUUUAAAACUUUUAAAAUCUAGGGUUUGAAAUUUAAGUUGUCUAAAUUAAAACUUUUAAUCACAAAAGUAAAUUUCAAAACAUGAGGGUAGGUUUUAAACAUUUAAAACAUGGAGGAUCAAAUAACAAAUAAUUCCAAUUAACAAUUAAUAUCCUAAUUAUCUAUAUUUGAUUUAUUCAAGAUUUCUUUUUAAGAUAAUUACCAAAAUAAUUAAAAUAAUUAAUUAAUUAUCAUAUAAGGAAAUUAAAUAUUUAAUUAGUUGAUAAUUACCUUUAACUAGAUCAAGAUAAUAGUUAUAUUUAUCAGAAAAACGAAUUAAUGUUGAUCUAAUUAGUUUAUGGUAAGUUAAGAUAAGAUAAACACAAAGAAAUCCCGAAUCUGGCCAUUCCUGACGCCUGGACUCGCCGAGUGCACAAAUGGACUCGCCGAGUCAGGCCUACUCGCCGAGUCCACUUUGGGACUCGCCGAGUCCAUGACUCAGAAACCAAAAAAUCGAAUUUUGCAGGUUUGUUUCAGUUAAUCAAGCAACAAUUUAAAGAAAACCAAGCUAGGCUCUGAUACCACUGAUGGGUUUUAGCCAUAAGAACUUUCCUAUGUGCGCAUGCAAAACCCUAAUGCUUGGAUCUAGGCUUUCUAAUAAACAUGCAUUGAAUCCAAGUCUUCUAAUGACUAAUUAGGUUAAAUAACAACAUUGAAACAGAUCUAGAAUCAUACCUUUGAGUUCCUUGUUGAUCUUGAGGUCUUGGAGCUUCUAGAGUCACAAGUGUCACUCCUCUAAUGGCUUACAAACACCAAUAGCAAUAAGAAUGAUUUAGGAGAGAGGAGAGGGGAGGAAUUCGACCAGAGUUCUCUUGCUUUUUCAGAAGUGUCGAAUUCCCUAUGCCAUGGGGUCUAUUUAUACUUGUAGACUCCUUAAGGAUUACAGAUAAGUCCCUAUCAGAUAAUCUUCUCUUAAGGCUAUCCAAAUCCAUUCCUAGAUAACUCUAAUGGACGAUUUUAGCUAUCCUAAUCCUCUUAGAAUUCGUCCAUAGCAUAUCCAAAUGGAUUUACAGUCUAAAGCUUAACUAUCAAACAAUUGACAGUUUAUACCCCUUUAUUUAAUUAAUCUCUUUAAGUCACCAAAUUAAUUCUAAUUAAUUCUAUGACUUAUAUUAAUCAAAUAACAAAUAUAUUAUUCAUUAUAUUAUUCUCAUAAUAUAUUAAUAAUAUUUACUCUCUCUUAAUAAAUCAUCCUAUCAAGUUGCUAUGGUGAAGGCAACCCAAAAGGACCAUGCACAACCGGAUCAAAUACUUGCCUAAUAUAGUUACAGCCUUAGACACUAUUCCAACAGUCUCCCACUUGGAUAAGUCUAGUAACUAUACAAGUACAAUUCGGUUUGCAAUCGUAGCUCUCAAAGACGCUGUCAACUCUGAUCUAAUCAAUCUUGUCCUUUAGAUAAGGGAACGUACAGUCCUCUGUUAGAUAUCAUGCUGACAAUCCUAUGGAAUGGUUAGUCAAGCAUUUAGGUUUCUCGAUCUCUGAUUUAUUUGACAUAGAACUUAAUCGAACACAUCAAUUCAGUUCUGACCGGGCCCGGCACAUAAGUCAAAUCAAAUCAUCGAGCGGCCGAGAUAUCGCUUUUACCUUCUUAGAUAAAAGUUACAGAUAAACUUCGACUUAUAUGCAUUUACUUAUUCAUUUACCAACUAUACACAACAAUACGUUUUAUAACACCAAGUUACUGAUGCGUUUUCGUAUUAUCAAUGUACAAUCAAUUAACAAAUAAUAAACCAUAUAUCUAGGUUUUAAGACUAUAUGAUAUUAUCGUCUUGCGAUCACCUUUUAUAUCGUAUUCCAUAAGGUGAUUCCAGCAAGCGCGGGUUUAUUCCAAUGCUCAAAACUAGUUCAUAAGCACUCAUGAACGUUGCAGCAAUCCUUUGCUAUGUCUAACACCAUUUAGACAUUCUACACACCAAUUCAUGACAAUCUUCAUUCAUAUCUACUCCCAACAUAUGAACGAUUGUGGACCAUUUGAACAAUUCGAUUAUUCCUAAUAAACUCAAUUAUUCUGGAAGUCAAAACAUGCAAAGUGAAACAAUAGCUAAACAAUUAACAUAAGAUAGUAACAUUACUCAUAAAUAAAACUCCUUUAUUUAAUCAUCAAAUGUUAAUUACAUUUAUCUAUUACACGUUUCUAAUACUAUCUAAUCUAUGCUAAUAUCAUCCUUCAGCCCAAUACUCCUAGCAUGCUGCAAGUGCUUAACCCUACUCAGUCCCUUCGUAAGCGGAUCUGCUGGGUUAUCUUCUGAUGAUAUCCUCUUCACUACGAGUUGUCCUUCUUCUACACGAUGUCUAAUGAAGUGAUACUUUCUGUCGAUAUGUCUUGAUCUACCAUGAUCCCUCGGUUCCUUGGUCAAGGCAACCGCGCCUUCGUUAUCACAGAAAAUCUCCAUUGGCUCCUUUAUGGCAGGUACAACUCCAAGAUCACCGAUGAAGUUCUUUAGCCAUAUUGCCUCCUUCGACGCUUCGCUCGCUGCAAUGUACUCUGAUUCGCACGUUGAAUCAGCUACGGUUUCCUGCUUGGAACUCUUCCAUGUCACUGCUCCUCCAUUUAGGGUAAAGACCCAGCCCGACUGCGAACGGUAGUUGUCCCUGUCGGUCUGAAAACUGGCGUCACUAUACCCUCGCACCUUCAAGUCAUCACUCCCUCCGAGGACUAAGAACCAUUCCUUCGUCCUCCGAAGGUACUUAAGGAUAUUCUUCACCGCAAUCCAAUGUGCUUUGCCAGGAUUCCCUUGAUAUCUGCUAACCAUGCUCAAAGCGAAGGCUACAUCAGGGCGAGUACAAGUCAUAGCGUACAUGAUUGAGCCAACUGCGGAAGCGUAUGGUACUCGGCUCAUUUCUGCUAUCUCAGCUUCGGUACUCGGACUUUGAGUCUUACUCAAUUUGGCAUUACUUUGUAUCGGUAGUUCUCCCUUCUUUGAGUUUUCCAUACUAAAACGUUUUAGUACCUUCUCUAAGUAAGUAUUCUGACUAAGUCCAAUUAGUCUCUUACUUCUUUCUCUUACUAUCCUUAUUCCCAAAAUGUAAGAAGCCUCUCCGAGGUCCUUCAUAGCGAAGCACUUCCCGAGCCAGGACUUAACCUCCUGCAGAGUCGGGAUGUCGUUUCCUAUGAGUAAUAUGUCAUCGACAUAUAGAACGAGGAAGCUUACUAUACUCCCACUGGCUUUGACAUAUACACAAGAUUCGUCUUCGCUUCGUACAAAUCCAAACUCUUUGACUUUCUCAUCGAAGCAAAGAUUCCAUCUGCGAGACGCUUGCUUAAGUCCAUAAAUGGACUUCUCAAGCUUACACACUCUAUUCGGAUGCUUCGGAUCCACAAACCCCUCUGGCUGAGCCAUGUAAACAUCCUCAGCCAACUUUCCGUUAAGGAAAGCGGUCUUGACAUCCAUUUGCCAAAUCUCAUAAUCAUGAAAUGCGGCAAUAGCUAGCAUCACUCUAAUAGAUUUAAUCUUCGCAACUGGUGAGAAGGUCUCAUCAUAGUCAACUCCGGGAGUUUGAGUAAAGCCCUUCGCAACCAAUCGCGCUUUAUAUGUGUGUACGUUUCCAUCCACGUCGGUCUUCUUCUUGAAGAUCCAUUUGCACCCAACGGUCUUACGUCCGGGCACAUAAUCAACCAAAUUCCAAACUUGGUUAUCAUACAUGGAUUGGAUCUCGCUAUCCAUUGCCUCUUUCCAUUUUGCAGACUCCGGGCCUGCCAUGGCUUCCUUAUAGCUAUUAGGUUCAUCAAGAUUUAUUAGUGUACCAUCACUAAUAUACGUGUCCCCUUCGGUAGUAAUAUGAAAACCAUAAAACUGGGGAUGAACUCUAACUCUAUCGGAACGUCUAAGAGGUAAGGAUUCGUCAAUCGGUUCAACCGGAGUUUCCUCCUCGGGUUGAGUGCCAGCGGUAGAGGUUCCUUCAUCUAUCGACUCUUGAAUCUCUUCAAGUUCGAUUUGCCUCCCACUGUCUCCUUGGCUUAUGAGUUCUCGCUCUCGGAAAACUCCUCUCCUCGCAACGAAGACAACAUUGUCCUUCGGUCUAUAGAAGAGAUAUCCAAAGGAUUUCUGCGGGUAGCCGAUGAAAAUACAUCGCUCACUACGAGGUUCGAGCUUGUCGUGAGUAUCUCGUCUUACGAAAGCCUCGCAACCCCAAACCUUGAUAUGUGCUAACGAGGGAGCCUUCCCUGUCCACAUUUCGUGAGGUGUUUUGGCAACCUUCUUAGUAGGGACUCGGUUAAGGAUAUGGGCGGCAGUCUCUAAGGCAUACCCCCAAAAUGAGAUAGGUAGUGAAGCACGACUCAUCAUAGAGCGAACCAUGUCUAACAAGGUUCGAUUACGCCUUUCUGCCACACCAUUCAACUGCGGUGUCCUAGGUGGCGUCAAUUGUGAAACUAUUCCACACUCCUUGAGAUAGUCGUGGAAUUCAAGACUUAGGUACUCUCCUCCUCGAUCGGAUCGAAGUAUCUUGAUUUUCCUGCCCAAUUGAUUCUCCACUUCAUUCUUGAACUCUUUGAACUUUUCAAACGUUUCUGACUUUUGCUUGAUUAAGUAGAUAUACCCAUAUCUACUAUAGUCAUCGGUAAAAGUCACAUAUAAGCGGUUUCUAUCCUUCGUGGUUGAUCUAAAGGGUCCACAUACAUCGGUAUGAGGUCCAAUAAACCCUCACCCCUUUCACAUGUACUAGUGAAGGGUGACUUGGUCAUCUUUCCAAGUAAACAAGAGUCCAUGUGUCAUCUUCCCUAAGGUCGAAUGACUCCAACACUCCAUCCUUUUGGAGUUGGGCUAUGCGCUUCUUGUUGACAUGUCCAAGACGACAAUGCCACAAGGAUGCUCUAUCCAUACUAUUGGAAGAAUCCAUGCAUAAAACAUCAUUUCCUAGGUUAUCUACAAUCAUAACAGUUUCAUAAAUUCCAUUACAUGGUAUUGCUUCAAAAUAUAAGACACCAUUUAGAUAAGCAUAAAUAGAACCAUUCUCAUUAUUAAAAGAAAAUCUAAAUCCUUGUCUAAACAAACCAUGAAAUGAAAUGAUGUUUCUUGCCAUUUCUGGCGAAUAGCAACAAUUGUUCAAAUCUAAACAUAAACCAUUCCUAAGCACUAGAGAAUACACUCCAAUCUUGGUCACAGGCGACGAUCUUCUGUUCCCCAUGAUUAGAUUUAUUCUUCCAUGCUCCACAUCCCUAUUUCUUCUUAGUCCCUGCAAUUCAGAACAAAUGUGGUAACCACACCCAGUAUCGAGGACCCAAGAAAUAGCAUGAGAUGAAUCAUUAGAUUUAAUUGUGUAUAUACCUACGAAAGACGGUUUGAUCUUUCCGUCCCUGAUGGCUUGCAGGUAGUCUGGGCAGCUUCUCUUCCAAUGCCCUAUUUUGUGGCAAUGGUGGCACUCUGCCUCCUUUGGGUUUGGGUUAGGCUUAGCGGGAUCAACUUUGGUCCUACUAGAAGAGGAACCACCUCGGGACUUUCCCUUGCGGUGGGUCUUAGAUGCAGCCUUCCUCUUCUUGCCUCUUCCUUGCCCAAUGGCCAAAACAGGAGCAGCGGGUGGAUUGGGAGUGGGUGCAACAGACUUGUCCUUGAGGUUGCUUUCAGCAACCCUAAGGAGACCUUGGAGCUUACUUAGGGUGACCUCUUCUUUGUUCAUGUGGUAGGUCAUCCUAAAUUGAUUGUAACACGGAGGCAAGGAGUGAAGCACCAUGUCGAUCGCCAAGUCUUCCCCAAAGUCAACAUUCAACUUGCGAAGACGAUCGACAUACCUUUGCAUCUUUUGCAGGUGCACGGUUAGAGAUUCUCCAUGACCCAUUUUGGCGGAGAUCAUGUUAGUGAAGAUCUCGUAACGUUCCUGCCUCGCGUUUUGGUGGUAUCUCUCCAACAAGUCUUGGUGCAUUUCGUACGGAUACAUGUCCUCAUAGGACUUUUGGAAUUCGGCGUUCAUUGUGGCUAUCAUGAUGCAAUGAACCUUCGUUGCAUCACGUUCAUGAGUCUCAAAAGCAGUCAUUUCAGCCGGAGUAGCGAUUUCUGGGUUGAUUUUCUCGAGCUUCUCAUCGAGGACAUACUCCUUGUCCUCGUAGCGAGCAAUUGUGCGAAUGUAUCUUAUCCAUUCGCUAAAGUUCGUUCCAUCGAAAGUCACCUUUUGGCAAAGGCUCAUCAAUGUGAACGAGCUAGCAGCAGCGUUGUUCGCGUUCGACAUCUACAAAUAGAAAGGACAAAGAUAGAUUAGAAUUUGAAUCCCUAAUUAUCACCCAAUAAGAAAAAUUAGGGCUAGGAUCCAACAACAAUAUUUACAUAUUAGAAAAGGGAUGCCGUAAUCUAACAUGCAAACAAUUUGAAGGUAAGUGAAUGACGAUUCACUAAUUCUCCACCAUGAAAACAUAACUUUAAGUUCUAAAUGUAUUGAGAAUUCCUAGGUUUGGAUGAGAUUCAUUGAAACUUUUCAAUGGCAUGUUUAAAUCUCGAUAUGCCCCUCUCGUUUGUGACUGGGAUACCGAGGAUCACAAAGUGGGUGUGAAUUACCAUGCAAAUUCACAUGGUGCCUUCAUUGUAACAAUCACCUAUUCGAUGUGCCGGUAAACCACACACGCUCCAUUGAACUAUGAUAAACAAUGAAUCACCCUUUGCUACCUUUUCUUACAACCAAUUAG